ACGCGAAAGUGGAGCAUCCAUGAGUAGAGUGGCAAACGGGUGAGUAACACGUGGGUGACCUGCCUUCGAGCGGGGGAUAACGUCCCGAAAGGGACGCUAAUACCGCAUAACAUCCUGCCUUUUAAGAGGUGGAGAUCAAAGCCGGGGAUUCGCAAGAACCUGGCACUUGAAGAGGGGCCCGCGCCUGAUUAGCUAGUUGGUGGGGUAAUGGCCUACCAAGGCAACGAUCAGUAUCCGGCCUGAGAGGGCGGACGGACACACUGGGACUGAGACACGGCCCAGACUCCUACGGGAGGCAGCAGUGGGGAAUUGUUCGCAAUGGGCGCAAGCCUGACGACGCAACGCCGCGUGGAGGAUGAAGACCUUCGGGUCGUAAACUCCUUUCGAUCGAGACGAAUGUUUUUCGGGUGAACAAUCCGGAAAAGUGACGGUACCGAGAGAAGAAGCCCCGGCUAACUCUGUGCCAGCAGCCGCGGUAAUACAGGGGGGGCAAGCGUUGUUCGGAAUUACUGGGCGUAAAGGGCUCGUAGGUGGCCAACUAAGUCAGACGUGAAAUCCCUCAGCUUAACUGGGGAACUGCGUCUGAUACUGGAUGGCUUGAGUUUGGGAGAGGGAUGCGGAAUUCCAGGUGUAGCGGUGAAAUGCGUAGAUAUCUGGAGGAACACCGGUGGCGAAGGCGGCAUCCUGGACCAACACUGACACUGAGGAGCGAAAGCCAGGGGAGCAAAC
rnacentral:rRNA from 1 species